GGACACUGUGAGGCCACCAUCCCUCUCUGAGGCUGAGGUUUAAUACACAGAGAAAGACUGGCUGGACACUGUGAGGCCACCAUCCCUCUCUGAGGCUGAGGUUUAAUACACAGAGAAAGACUGGCUGGACACUGUGAGGCCACCAUCCCUCUCUGAGGCUGAGGUUUAAUACACAGAGAAAGACUGGCUGGACACUGUGAGGCCACCAUCCCUCUCUGAGGCUGAGGUUUAAUACACAGAGAAAGACUGGCUGGACACUGUGAGGCCACCAUCCCUCUCUGAGGCUGAGGUUUAAUACACAGAGAAAGACUGGCUGGACACUGUGAGGCCACCAUCCCUCUCUGAGGCUGAGGUUUAAUACACAGAGAAAGACUGGCUGGACACUGUGAGGCCACCAUCCCUCUCUGAGGCUGAGGUUUAAUACACAGAGAAAGACUGGCUGGACACUGUGAGGCCACCAUCCCUCUCUGAGGCUGAGGUUUAAUACACAGAGAAAGACUGGCUGGACACUGUGAGGCCACCAUCCCUCUCUGAGGCUGAGGUUUAAUACACAGAGAAAGACUGGCUGGACACUGUGAGACCACCAUCCCUCUCUGAGGCUGAGGUUUAAUACACAGAGAAAGACUGGCUGGACACUGUGAGGCCACCAUCCCUCUCUGAGGCUGAGGUUUAAUACACAGAGAAAGACUGGCUGGACACUGUGAGACCACCAUCCCUCUCUGAGGCUGAGGUUUAAUACACAGAGAAAGACUGGCUGGACACUGUGAGGCCACCAUCCCUCUCUGAGGCUGAGGUUUAAUACACAGAGAAAGACUGGCUGGACACUGUGAGGCCACCAUCCCUCUCUGAGGCUGAGGUUUAAUACACAGAGAAAGACUGGCUGGACACUGUGAGGCCACCAUCCCUCUCUGAGGCUGAGGUUUAAUACACAGAGAAAGACUGGCUGGACACUGUGAGGCCAGGCUGAGGUUUAAUACACAGAGAAAGACUGGCUGGACACUGUGAGGCCACCAUCCCUCUCUGAGGCUGAGGUUUAAUACACAGAGAAAGACUGGCUGGACACUGUGAGGCCACCAUCCCUCUCUGAGGCUGAGGUUUAAUACACAGAGAAAGACUGGCUGGACACUGUGAGGCCACCAUCCCUCUCUGAGGCUGAGGUUUAAUACACAGAGAAAGACUGGCUGGACACUGUGAGGCCACCAUCCCUCUCUGAGGCUGAGGUUUAAUACACAGAGAAAGACUGGCUGGACACUGUGAGACCACCAUCCCUCUCUGAGGCUGAGGUUUAAUACACAGAGAAAGACUGGCUGGACACUGUGAGGCCACCAUCCCUCUCUGAGGCUGAGGUUUAAUACACAGAGAAAGACUGGCUGGACACUGUGAGGCCACCAUCCCUCUCUGAGGCUGAGGUUUAAUACACAGAGAAAGACUGGCUGGACACUGUGAGGCCACCAUCCCUCUCUGAGGCUGAGGUUUAAUACACAGAGAAAGACUGGCUGGAC